rnacentral:rRNA from 1 species
UGCGAGUCGAACGAAAAAUAAUUUUUCGUGGCGUACGGGUGAGUAAUACACAGGAAUCUGCCUUUUAGUUCAGGAUAAAAUUCUGAAUAACAAAAGAAAACUUUUCGCUAAAAGAUGAGCCUGUGUAGGAUUAGGUAGUUGGUAUUUGGGUAAAGGCCUACCAAGCCUAUGAUCCUUAGCUGUUCUGAGAGGUUGUACAGCCACACUGGGACUGAGACAAGGCCCAGGCUUCAUUUGGAGCCAGCAGUGAGGAAUUUUGGACAAUGAGCGAAAGCUUGAUCCAGCAAUACUACAUGAGUGAUGAAGGCUUUCAAGUUGUAGAACUCUUUGGUUGAGGAGGAUAAUGACAGUACUCAACAAAAUAGCCCCGGCUAACUUCGUGCCAGCAGCCGCGGUAAUACGAAGGGGGCGAGCGUUAUCCGGAAUGACUGGGCGUAAAGGGUCCGUAGGCAGCAUUUUUUGUUAGAGGUUAAAUAAAAAAGCUUAACUUUUUUCCGCUUCUAAAACGUAAAUGCUUUGAGUUUGAUAGGAGAUAGCAGAAUUUCACAUGGAGGGGUGAUAUCCGUAGAUAUGUGAAGGAAUACCAGAGGCGAAGGCGGCUAUCUAGAUCAAUACUGACGUUGAGGGACGAAAGCAUGGGGAGCAAACAGGAUUAGAUACCCUGGUAGUCCAUGCCCUAAAAGAUGAGUGCUCGUGCUUAGAUAUUUUUAGGCACUUAGUUAACACGUUAAGCACUCCGCCUGGGGAGUACGACCGCAAGGUUGGAACUCAAAGGAAUUGACGGGGGCCUAUACAAGUGGUGGAGCAUGUGGUUUAAUGCGACAAUACGCGCGAAACCCUUACCAGUUCUUGACAUAAAAAAGAAAAAGUUUGAAAGGACAAUUUUGAAGAUUUUUACAGGUGCUGCAUGGCUGUCGUCAGCUCGUGUCGUGAGAUGUUAGGUUAACUCCUUUUAACGGGCGAAACCCCUUUUCUUAGUUGCCACUUAAAUUUAAUUUUAAGCACUCUAAAAAGACAGCU